rnacentral:rRNA from 1 species
AAAACUUUCAACAACGGAUCUCUUGGUUCUGGCAUCGAUGAAGAACGCAGCGAAAUGCGAUAAGUAAUGUGAAUUGCAGAAUUCAGUGAAUCAUCGAAUCUUUGAACGCACAUUGCGCCCGCCAGUAUCCUGGCGGGCAUGCCUGUCCGAGCGUCAUUACAA